GAUGAACGCUAGCUACAGGCUUAACACAUGCAAGCCGAGGGGAAACGGCAUUGAGUGCUUGCACUCUUUGGACGUCGACCGGCGCACGGGUGAGUAACGCGUAUCCAACCUUCCCAUUACUGUGGGAUAACCUGCCGAAAGGCAGACUAAUACCGCAUAGUCUUCGAUGACGGCAUCAGAUUUGAAGUAAAGAUUUAUCGGUAAUGGAUGGGGAUGCGUCUGAUUAGCUUGUUGGCGGGGUAACAGCCCACCAAGGCUACGAUCAGUAGGGGUUCUGAGAGGAAGGUCCCCCACAUUGGAACUGAGACACGGUCCAAACUCCUACGGGAGGCAGCAGUGAGGAAUAUUGGUCAAUGGACGGAAGUCUGAACCAGCCAAGUAGCGUGCAGGAUGACGGCCCUAUGGGUUGUAAACUGCUUUUGUAUGGGGAUAAAGUUAGGGACGUGUCCCUAUUUGCAGGUACCAUACGAAUAAGGACCGGCUAAUUCCGUGCCAGCAGCCGCGGUAAUACGGAAGGUCCAGGCGUUAUCCGGAUUUAUUGGGUUUAAAGGGAGCGUAGGCUGGAGAUUAAGUGUGUUGUGAAAUGUAGACGCUCAACGUCUGAAUUGCAGCGCAUACUGGUUUCCUUGAGUACGCACAACGUUGGCGGAAUUCGUCGUGUAGCGGUGAAAUGCUUAGAUAUGACGAAGAACUCCGAUUGCGAAGGCAGCUGACGGGAGCGCAACUGACGCUUAAGCUCGAAGGUGCGGGUAUCAAACAGG
rnacentral:rRNA from 1 species